GAUGAACGCUGGCGGCGUGCCUAAUACAUGCAAGUCGAGCGAACGGACGAGAAGCUUGUUUCUCUGAUGUUAGCGGCGGACGUGUGAGUAACACGUGGAUAACCUACCUAUCAGACUGGGAUAACUUCGGGAAACCGGAGCUAAUACCGGAUAAUCUUUUGAUCCGCAUGGUUCAAAAGUGAAAGACGGUCUUGCUGUCACUUAUCGAUGGAUCCGCGCUGCAUUAGCUAGUUGGUAGGUUAACGGCUUACCAAGGCAACGAUGCAUAGCCGACCUGAGAGGGUGAUCGGCCACACUAGAACGGGAACACGGUCCAGACUCCUACGGGAGGCAGCAGUAGGGAAUCGUCCGCAAUGGGCGAAAGCCUGACGGAGCAACGCCGCGUGAGUGAUGAAGGUCUUCGGAUCGUAAAACUCUGUUAUUAGGGAAGAACAUAUGUGUAAGUAACUGUGCACAGCUUGACGGUACCUAGUCAGAAAGCCACGGCUAACUACGUG
rnacentral:rRNA from 1 species